AGUCCCCAUCUUUUAUCCCCUUUUUGCUGCCCCAAAAGUCUUCCCCUUAUCUCAUUUUCUUGGCUGCACCAGACAGAAAGUCCAGCCCUCUUUCCCUACUCUUUUCCUUGUUCUUUGUUUCUUUCUUCUCCCCUUCUUACACGGCAGCCUUAUCUCCCUCACCAAAACAAAAUAUCCCUCUCUAAAGAAGAAAUUAAAGGGUUAACUCUAAAAUUUCAGCUUCAAAUUUUUGGGGGUGGCGAGAACGAGAACACGGACACUUGAGCUCCUCUUGUACUAUCUCUCGCACCUUCUGUUUACAGCUCAACCUAUUAUAUUUCAGUGCACAGGUUCUUCCUGAAAGCAGCGAGAGUAUUAGAGGUGGAAAGGAUUAUGUGUUUUUUCGUUUGUUAGAAUGUAGAGUUUUGUUGUAUAGCAGUUAGCUCUUUUGUUGUAUAGGAGGAAUCAAGAUGUACUUGAUCCUUUGAGCACAGAUGUAAUUUGGUACCUUAGUUUGUUUUGAACCCCAGUUGUAUGUCUUUGGGGUUAGGUUUAUAAUAAGAGCUUUCGCUAAACGUUUAGCUAUGUAAUAUUUACAUGUAUACCUUAAGUUUCAGUCAGGUGGUAAUUUUCCAAAUUCAAAGGAAAUGAAAUUUUAAGGUUGCCAUCAUUUUUGUA